rnacentral:rRNA from 1 species
UGGGGAAUAUUGCACAAUGGGCGCAAGCCUGAUGCAGCCAUGCCGCGUGUGUGAAGAAGGCCUUCGGGUUGUAAAGCACUUUCAGCGGGGAGGAAGGCGAUAAGGUUAAUAACCUUGUCGAUUGACGUUACCCGCAGAAGAAGCACCGGCUAACUCCGUGCCAGCAGCCGCGGUAAUACGGAGGGUGCAAGCGUUAAUCGGAAUUACUGGGCGUAAAGCGCACGCAGGCGGUCUGUCAAGUCGGAUGUGAAAUCCCCGGGCUCAACCUGGGGACUGCAUUCGAAACUGGCAGGCUAGAGUCUUGUAGAGGGGGGUAGGAUUCCAGGUGUAGCGGUGAAAUGCGUAGAGAUCUGGAGGAAUACCGGUGGCGAAGGCGGCCCCCUGGACAAAGACUGACGCUCAGGUGCGAAAGCGUGGGGAGCAAACAGG